GAUCAUGUGUGCCUGGAACUCAGAAGAGCGUUCUCAGGUAGUGAUAUAAAUUUGUGAGUCGUCUGCAUAUAGAUGGUAAUUGAAUCAAUAUGAAGGAGUCAUCAAAUGAAAAGAGGAAAGAUGAGAGCACUGAACUUAGGGAAAUUCAAUAAUUAAUAGCCUCUGGAAGAGACUGCAAAGAAAGACAGAGGACGGAACAGCUAACAAGAUAGGAGGAAAACCUAGAGGAUAUUGGGAUUUCCAAGGGAAAUCAGUGUUUCCAUUAGGAGGGAGGGCUGGUGCUUGAAUGCUGCUGAGAAGUUAAGAAAAGGAAGCAUCCUUCUAGUUGAUUCAUGUAAACCCACUGCCAACUAAAAUCCUUAAAUGUUUUUUUCAGAUGUAAACAAACAACGCCAAGAUCUCAAUGGCUGAAUAGAAUCAGGCUUUAUUCUCGCUCGCAUCCCAUUCCGAUGAGGUUUGAGUUGCUUACUUCAAAGAGGUACUUUGGAGGGGAAAAUGUACAAGAUACGCAAGGUCCCUGACCUCAUUAUGGAGAUUCCACAACACUGAAGAGGAAAAGGAGAAUGGAUGUAUUGGGACAAUCCAUUGCCAACAAUCAUUUUGUGUUUCAUUUAUGGGAUCCAUUUCU
rnacentral:lncRNA from 1 species